UCGGAUAUGGUGUAACGGCUAACAUUGCCGCCUCUCAUGUGCUUUGUAUAACAUGUUCUAGAACGCGGCAGCUCGGGGUUCGAUUCCCCGUAUCCGAA
rnacentral:tRNA from 1 species